GAUGAACGCUGGCGGCGUGCCUAAUACAUGCAAGUCGAGCGAACAGAUGAGGAGCUUGCUCCUCUGACGUUAGCGGCGGACGGGUGAGUAACACGUGGAUAACCUACCUAUAAGACUGGGAUAACUUCGGGAAACCGGAGUUAAUACCGGAUAAUAUAUUGAACCGCAUGGUUCAAUAGUGAAAGACGGCUUUGCUGUCACUUAUAGAUGGAUCCGCGCCGCAUUAGCUAGUUGGUAAGGUAACGGCUUACCAAGGCAACGAUGCGUAGCCGACCUGAGAGGGUGAUCGGCCACACUGGAACUGAGACACGGUCCAGACUCCUACGGGAGGCAGCAGUAGGGAAUCUUCCGCAAUGGGCGAAAGCCUGACGGAGCAACGCCGCGUGAGUGAUGAAGGUCUUCGGAUCGUAAAACUCUGUUAUUAGGGAAGAACAAAUGUGUAAGUAACUAUGCACGUCUUGACGGUACCUAAUCAGAAAGCCACGGCUAACUACGUG
rnacentral:rRNA from 1 species